rnacentral:lncRNA from 1 species
UUCUCUCUACAGAUAUUUUACACUCCAUCUGUACAUAACAGCUAGGCUCUGUUCAUUUGCACAGUCCAUAAACCAAAUUCUCUCAAUCUAAAGCUACUUUUGAUUAAAAAUAAAAAUAAAGGAACAUCUGCUAGUGACAAUAGUGAAUUGUUCGAGCGAGAAUUUGUAACAAUUAAUACCGUGGCCUAAAUCACCGCCACGAGGAGAGCCACCGCGAGUGAGAUUUCCUUCACCGGCGGUCGAUUACUGACGGUGUAAAAAGUCCCAAUAACUAGGAACACGUGGUCGACAUAAGCCAUUGAAUAGCCUCCUCCACCGGAAAACGAUCGGAAUCAAACUCUUUUGAGUUAAUGCGGAAGAUGACGGAGAUGGAUAAGAUUCGUUAAAACCACCAAUUCUUGCCGGAUUUGUUAUCUAGACUAGAACUACCUGUCGUUUAAUUUCAGUUCUUGAAACGGCAAAACGUGCGAAGUAAGAAAUUCAAAAGAGAAAUAUUACGAAAAAAGCCUAACUUUGUGUCAUAAUUAAACAAUAGUCUAGAUACUUUUCAAUAAAAACAAUUUUCCUUGAGCUCUAAGGCCAUCUCCAAUUCUGAGAUCAUUUUUGGGGACUUUCAAGCUGUUUUACUAUUAUUAUUUUUUUUCAUAGUGAAAAACCCCUCCAUAAUUUAUUCCUCCAACCCUGAUAUUCUGUUUUGAUUAGGUGAUACCUGUAGCGAGGAUCAAAGGAAGAGACGAUGAAACAGCAAAGCUUGGUCCACCAUUAAACUUUUUUUGCUCUUCCCUAAAAUGCAAUUAAUCAGGAGCCACCACGUCGCCGAAUAACCUGUCAUAAGACGGGUUUUUCAAUCUCUUCUGCAAGAGACGAUACGUCGACAAAUUAAGCUUUACAUUUUUCAAAAUUGUAAAAACUCCCCUUAAAUCCACAGAAAAACCAUUUACGUUAGAGAUGGCCUAAGAUCUUGAAAUCUUAAUCUUAAAUCAAAGAUUCAACUAAAGAAUACUAAAACUCUCUGUUUGGCCCUUUUCCCGAUGUAGCAUUCACGGGAGUUCAGAUUUUUUUUUUGCUCCAUGGCUUUUGAAUUUUGAAUCUCUCUAGCGACUCUCUCCGGCGUGACUCAGGAAUGCUACAAUGUUUCUAAUUGUUGAAGACGAAGUCAGCAGUUUCCAAUCUCUGCUGGAGAGGGCUUGAAGUUUUGCUAAAGUUAUUAAAACCUCCCAAAAUCCCAGAAACCACCGUCCGUCCUCUUCUAUUUCCUCGCCGAGAACCUCUGUUUUCUGCAACCUCUAGCUUUGUGCUAAGCCGCUUCUACAAAAACAAGCUUUGCUCCUCCCCGCAAACCAAUCUCAGAUGCAAAUCUCCAAUCCGGCGACCAACACUAAAGAAUCCAAGUUCAGAAGAUUCCUUUCUUUUCUAAGACGAGUGACCAGAAGGCCCCUUUCUCCGAUGAAAAAAAAAUUGUUGUUCACCUCUAAAGAUUGAAGAUCUGCUGCUGCCAAGACCGAAGACCCUUCCUGUUUUGGGAGGUUUUUAUCUUAUACCGAAGACUAAAGAAUACAAGACCCAAAUAAUUCUAGCUUUAUGCUAAGUUGUCCUCAAUUCAUCUCACACAAAGUGUAAUCUUUGAAGGAAAAUUCAAACUAUACCAGUGAAAUUGUAUUCUCUGCGGCGGCGCUUGCUGAAGAGGGAAUGUUCUAGCUGAAGAAAUAAGAAUGCCGAUCCCAGAUCUAGAGUUUCUUGACAGCUACUUGAUGGUGAUCUUGAUGUGUUGUGGUGUCGAGAGGGUUGUCAAUUUUACCCUAAUUGAAAUCGAUAGCCGCAAGUGCACAGUUGAUCAAUUGUAGUACUUAGGGAUCGAAUCCACAGGGAAGGAGGAUCUUUUGCUGCAAAAAGCCUUUGAAAUAAGUUAAAGUAAGGAAGUCUAGAACAAAAACAGUUUUGUGGGGGUUUGGUGGUGUAUUUAAAAUGUAACGAAAUAUUAAAAGAGAGUGCGGAAAUUAAAUGGCGUAAUAACUAAACUUAACGAAAAUAACUAAAAAUGAUAAAAAUGAAUAUUUUAAUGCUUAAAUGAAAAUGAACUAAAAAGGAAAGACAAUAUUGAACUAAAACUUAAAGAAAAAUCGCAGGAAAUCAAUGGAGAAAAAGCGUUGGGCUUCAGGAAAGUUUUCUCAGGGG